rnacentral:rRNA from 1 species
UACGAGGGGUCCUAGCGUUGUUCGGAAUCAUGGGGCGUAAAGCGUCUGUAGGCGGCUUUGUAAGUCGGGUGUGAAAGCCCCAGGCUCAACCUGGGAAGUGCAUUCGAUACUGCAUAGCUUGAAUGUUGGAGAGGAUAGUAGAAUUCCAGGUGUAGUGGUGAAAUGCGUAGAUAUCGAGAGGAACACCUGCGGCGAAGGCGGGUAGCUGGGCCGACACUGACGCUGAGGCGCGAAAGCCAGGGGAGCGAACGGG